UGAUUUGUUUUAAAGAAAGCUUGAGGUCAAUCUUCAUUGACAUUCCAAGUUUAGUCAAAAUCAGCAAAAGGACCUGGGAGGAGCAGGCCAACA